UAGAAGUUGUUACGGGCACACGGUGGAUGCCUUGGCAUCAGGAGCUGAUGAAGGACGUGGAAAUCUGCGAUAAGCCUCGGGGAGCUGAUAAACGAGCUGUGAUCCGAGGGUCUCCGAAUGGGGUAACCCGGCUGCGUAUCAUGCGUGGUCACUCGUAUCUGAAUUCAUAGGGUGCGAGGAGGAACGUGGGGAAGUGAAACAUCUCAGUACCCAUAGGAAGAGAAAACAAUAGUGAUUCCGUGAGUAGUGGCGAGCGAAAGCGGAUGGUGGCUAAACCGGUUGUGUGUGAUACCUGGCGAGGGUUGCAUGAUCGGGGUUGUGGGAUGCGUUGUUCUCGGGGUCGCCACCCCGGGCGCUGCAGCAUUGUGGUAGUCGAACUGGUGGUGAGUGCCAGACCGUAGGGGGUGUGAGUCCCGUAGACGAAACCGUGGUGUGUGUGGUGUGACGUUGUUCCCGAGUAGCACGGGGCCCGUGAAAUCUCGUGUGAAUCUGCCAGGACCACCUGGUAAGCCUGAAUACUUCCUGAUGACCGAUAGCGGAUCAGUACCGUGAGGGAAUGGUGAAAAGUACCCCGGGAGGGGAGUGAAAUAGUACCUGAAACCGUGUGCUUACAAGCCGUUGGAGCCUCAAGGGGUGACAGCGUGCCUUUUGAAGAAUGAGCCUGCGAGUUAGUGUUACGUCGCGAGAUUAACCCGUGUGGGGUAGUCGUAGCGAAAGCGAGUCUGAAUAGGGCGUUGUGUAGUGGCGUGAUCUAGACCCGAAGCGGGGUGAUCUACCCAUGGCCAGGUUGAAGCGCGUGUAAGAGCGCGUGGAGGACCGAACCCACUUCAGUUGAAAAUGGAGGGGAUGAGCUGUGGGUAGGGGUGAAAGGCCAAUCAAACUCCGUGAUAGCUGGUUCUCCCCGAAAUGCAUUUAGGUGCAGCGUUGCGUGUUGCUUCCCGGAGGUAGAGCUACUGGAUGGCUGAUGGGCCCUACAAGGUUACUGACGUCAACCAAACUCCGAAUGCCGGUGAAGUGUAAGCGUGGCAGUGAGACUGUGGGGGAUAAGCUUCAUAGUCGAAAGGGAAACAGCCCAGACCAUCAACUAAGGCCCCUAAGCGUGUGCUAAGUGGGAAAGGAUGUGGAGUUGCUGAGACAACCAGGAGGUUGGCUUAGAAGCAGCCACCCUUGAAAGAGUGCGUAAUAGCUCACUGGUCAAGUGAUUCCGCGCCGAUAAUGUAGCGGGGCUCAAGUACACCGCCGAAGUUGUGGCAUGACACCGUAUAUCCGAGCCGUUUGUGGUUGAGGUGGUGUUGUGGGUAGGGGAGCGUCGUUGGGGUGGUGAAGCUGCGGGGUGACCCAGUGGUGGAACCUCAACGAGUGAGAAUGCAGGCAUGAGUAGCGAUAGACGGGUGAGAAACCCGUCCGCCGGAUGAUCAAGGGUUCCAGGGUCAAGCUAAUCUGCCCUGGGUGAGUCGGGACCUAAGGCGAGGCCGACAGGCGUAGUCGAUGGACAACGGGUUGAUAUUCCCGUACCGACGAAGAACCGACCCUACUGAACCGGGGAUACUAACCACCCGAACCACCACGAUCACCGCGCCCCUUGUGGGUGUGGUGGAGUGUGUGGGGAGCGUGGGACCUGAUCCGGGGAGGUAAACGUGUUAACAGGUGUGACGCAGGAAGGUAGCCGAGCCAGGCGAUGGUUGUCCUGGUCUAAGCAUGUAGGGCGGCCGGUUGGUAAAUCCGCGGGCCAUAGGCUUGAGAUGUGAUGGGACUCUCUUAGGUGAGGGAAUUCGGUGAUCCUAUGCUGCCAAGAAAAGCAUCGACGUGAGGUUCUAGUCGCCCGUACCCUAAACCGACACAGGUGAUCAGGUAGAGAAUACUAAGGCGUUCGAGAGAAUCAUGGUUAAGGAACUCGGCAAAAUGCCCCCGUAACUUCGGGAGAAGGGGGGCCCUGGUUGGUGAACACCCACGCGGUGUGAGCUGGUCGGGGUCGCAGAGGCUAGGGGGAAGCGACUGUUUAUCAAAAACACAGGUCCGUGCGAAGUCGUAAGACGAUGUAUACGGACUGACUCCUGCCCGGUGCUGGAAGGUUAAGAGGACUCGUUAAACCCUUACGGGUUGAAGCGGAGAAUUUAAGCCCCAGUAAACGGCGGUGGUAACUAUAACCAUCCUAAGGUAGCGAAAUUCCUUGUCGGGUAAGUUCCGACCUGCACGAAUGGAGUAACGACUUCCCUACUGUCUCAACCAUGAACUCGGCGAAAUUGCAGUACGAGUAAAGAUGCUCGUUUCGCGCAGCAGGACGGAAAGACCCCGAGACCUUUACUAUAGUUUGGUAUUGGUGUUCGGUGUGGCUUGUGUAGGAUAGGUGGGAGACUGUGAAGCUAUCACGCUAGUGGUGGUGGAGUCGUUGUUGAAAUACCACUCUGGUCACUCUGGAUAUCUAACUUCGGCCCGUGAUCCGGGUCAGGGACAGUGCCUGAUGGGUAGUUUAACUGGGGCGGUUGCCUCCUAAAGAGUAACGGAGGCGCCCAAAGGUUCCCUCAGCCUGGUCGGCAAUCAGGUGGUGAGUGUAAGUGCACAAGGGAGCUUGACUGUGAGAGUGACAGCUCGAGCAGGGACGAAAGUCGGGACUAGUGAUCCGGCGGUACAUUGUGGAAUGGCCGUCGCUCAACGGAUAAAAGGUACCUCGGGGAUAACAGGCUGAUCUUGCCCAAGAGUCCAUAUCGACGGCAUGGUUUGGCACCUCGAUGUCGGCUCGUCGCAUCCUGGGGCUGGAGUUGGUCCCAAGGGUUGGGCUGUUCGCCCAUUAAAGCGGUACGCGAGCUGGGUUCAGAACGUCGUGAGACAGUUCGGUCCCUAUCCGCUGCGUGCGUUGGAAAUUUGUGGAGGCCUGUCCUUAGUACGAGAGGACCGGGACGGACGAACCUCUGGUAUGUCAGUUGUUCCGCCAGGAGCACCGCUGAUUAGCUACGUUCGGGAUUGAUAACCGCUGAAAGCAUCUAAGCGGGAAGCUUGCUCCGAGAUGAGAUUUCCUGACCCCCCCCUUGCGGGGGUGUGAGGUGCCCAGUAGACGACUGGGUUGAUAGGCCAGAUGUGGAAGCGUUGCAAGACGUGGAGCUGACUGGUACUAAUACACCGAAAACUUCUACACACA
rnacentral:rRNA from 1 species